CUAUGGCAUACAUAUACACGUACAUGUGACUUGGAUAAACUAAAGAUUCUUUGGAAAUAAUGGAGUAUGCCAAUUACAAACGGAUGCAGAAAUUAUUUCAAUUAUGUGGAAAGCCAGCCUUACUCAAAAUAUUAGACGCUUAUCUUAAAGAAAAUAUGUUAUCCUUUUCGGCUUUACUGGAUCGUCAUAAACAUCGUGUACUUCACCUUUACAGACUACCGAGUGCUUGCUGUCCAAACGCCAUCAACUGCAAGAGUCCAGAGAAGCUUCCGCUAGUCAGAAAUCAAUGGCUAAUCUUGUACGACGAUACAAAAAAUCCCCACUGUAACAAAGUCACGUGCGUGUGUAAUGUGAUAACGAACCAUGUACGUGCAUCUCAUUUAGACUUUUACAUACUUUCGUUAUUGAUGGUGACUUUCGUUGCCGGAAAUUCAGAUGUUAUGCCCAGUAUACGAGGUCUUCAUCGAGAAUGUAGACUCUGUGAAUUUAUGAGACCUAAAAAGAUAAGCAAUGAAGCAUUUGAAACUAAAUGGAAAAAUGCUUCUGCAUAUCUUUUAAAACUUGGUGUCUCUAAAAUACAGAUUGAAGAAGUGAGAAAAAUGCCAGUAGAAGAUAUACCGGAAUAUGAGCAACCUGAAACAUGUCAAGUGAAAUGGAGACACCGCUUUCUCAAAUGUAGAAUAGUAGCCUAUAUACUGGCUACAUUAAUAAUUAUUGGUGUUCCACUAGGUAUUGGACUGGCUGUCGCCCUAACAUGAUAGACAGAGAGACAUCAUAGAAAAGAAACAGUGGACUUGUUAUUCUAACACUACUGAUUGGAGCAUGGGAGACUUACGAACGCCAUUUUGUGUUGCUUUUAUUCGUAGCAUAAACAGCUAUAACUAAUAUAUGUAGACAAUGCAGUUUCAUAUAGAACUUAAAAAUUUAUUAUAAACAUUGUAACAUUGUCAAGUUUUAGUAUAAAAAUAAAACAGCAAAACUCUUUCUAAAGAACACAGAAAGCAGCACAGGAAUGUCCUAAUUUUUGCGGCAACAUAUAACAACAGAAUGCUAACUUCACUAUUUAAUUGAAUGCUGUUUUGUCCGAAAUGUAGAUUUCAAAUGCUGCCUCCUGAGUCAUUUUAAUUUAUGGUGAGGGGAGGUAAAUAGACAUUUCAUAUGGGAUGUUUAAACAUUACACAACACCAACAUAAGUAAAGCUUUAAGCAUCUACUAAUGGAAUACCUGUUGAUAUCUUUCAAUUAACGUUAUAUAUAUAUAUACAGACUUGCUCGGAAAAGGUUUUGGAUACGAAAGCUUAGGACAGUUUCCCCAGGGGGCAUAAAUGAAAAAAACAUAGAAUGUGUCACUCAUUUCCCUACCAUCACUUGUUUCCAGUAAAUCAGGCUUCCGUUUUGGACUCUUACAGUUUUAAGAAAUUUAUUACUCCUCCCAAACAUCAAUAUUGAAAAAAAAUUACCAGCGUAUUGAUCAUUGAUAAUUUGUAUAGCAUUAAAGAUUUUUAUUUCAGUUUGACUACCACAU